rnacentral:sRNA from 1 species
GCUGCCGCUGCCGCCCAGGCUGGAAGCCCAAACAUGGAAUCCCGAAUAACCAAAAGGACACUGUCUGUGAUGACGCUUUCCCGAUUCUUCGACAAAGUCCAGGACCUGGGCAGAGACUCCAAGACAAGCUCAGCUGAGGUCACCAUCCAGGUAAGGGCGGGACGCUGGGGGACCCCAGGACAGUGUAGAAUCAGCUAGCGGAGGCUUCCUUGUGGCCAGAGAGAGCGCCCAACCCAAGCAAGGGCAUCUAGUCAGAGACACACAUACGCAUAACAUACACACACCAC